rnacentral:rRNA from 1 species
UAAACGACUCUCGGCAACGGAUAUCUCGGCUCUCGCAUCGAUGAAGAAUGUAGCGAAAUGCGAUACUUGGUGUGAAUUGCAGAAUCCCGCGAAUCAUCGAGUCUUUGAACGCAAGUUGCGCCCGAAGCCAUUAGGUUGAGGGCACGUCUGCCUGGGCGUCUCAC